AUGCUAAUAUACUCUCUUUUCUCCUCCUCUUCACAGCAAAUGACCAAGGAUCUAGUGGCUCUGACGUAUCUGCCAAGGCUUAACAGAGCCUGUUGGAGUCUGUGCCACAACCUGAGGGGAUUCCAGAGAGGAAGAUUGAUGAGCUCUGCUCUGUCUCCCUUCAAGAACCAAUCAACCUCUCCCUAGCUUUUCUCUGGCACUUGGAGUGUCCUGUGUGGGAUUUCUGGGCUCAUCUAUCUGCUCAUUUAAUUGCUUCUUACUUUUCAGAUGUAAUAGAUUUCUGUAAUAAUGCUUUCUUUACACAUAAUAAUUUCCAAAAUUUUAAUGGAUAAAAACUCUUUUAGUAAGAGUUUAGUAUUUGCUACAUUUAGUGUGUGUGCUCGGUGCUUUGUUCUGUGCAGUGCUGUUUGCACACUGUACAGCAGGGGCAUAGCCAUGGGUGAGCCUGGGUGAGUCGUGGCCCACCCACUUAGCAUCCAGGACGGCCGAAAUUUGAGCAGGGUGUAGUGCUGCCAUAGCAGUCUGGAGCACGGACACCUGAAAUCUAGGACUGGGUGUGGCCAGAGCCCUGGAAAUCCACAGGCUUGGAGGGGGUGAAUCGUCCCAGCUGGGGGGAUGUGCCUCAUGGAGGCAGGUCUGGGUGGGGCUAGAACUAGGGCCGGAGGAGAGAGCUCUUCCACGCAUGAUUAGGCUGGGCAUGGGCAGGGCGCCGGAGACUGAGGGUAUGUCUACACUACGGGAUUAAUUCGAAUUUAUAUAAUUUGAAUUUGGGAAACAGAUUGUAUAAAGUCGAAUGUAUGCGGCCACACUAAGCACAUUAAUUCGGCGGUGUGCGUCCAAGUACCGGGGCUAGCGUUGAUUUCUGGAGCGUUGCACUGUGGGUAGCUAUCCCAUAGCUAUCCCGUAGUUCCCGCAGUCUCCCGCGCCCAUUGGAAUUCUGGGUUGAGAUCCCAGUGCCUGAUGGGACAAAAAAUAUUGUCGCAGGUGGUUCUGGGUACAGCCUCACCCCUCCCUCCCUCCCUGCAUGAAAACAACGGACGGCAGAAUACCAUUUCGCGCCUUUUUUCCUGGGUGAACACUGCAGACUCCAUACCACGGCAAGCAUGGAGCCCGCUCAGCUCAAGACAGCAGUCAUGAACAUUGUAAACACCUCGCGCGUUCUCGAGCCAGGACCAGAAAAACGAGG
rnacentral:lncRNA from 1 species